ACAUGCUUACAAGAUAGUUUUAAUGCACCAGAUCCCAUUAGAAGUCCACAGUUAAGUGGGAUCAAUCUAGAGUACUACUGGGAUGGCUGAGUGCUUGGGAAGUCCUAGUGUUUUACAUGCC
rfam:Picea glauca, whole genome shotgun sequence.